rnacentral:rRNA from 1 species
UACGGGGGGUGCAAGCGUUGUUCGGAAUCAUUGGGCGUAAAGAGCGUGUAGGCGGUUUGGUAAGUCAGAUGUGAAAGCCCUGGGCUUAACCCGGGAAGUGCAUUUGAAACUGUCAGACUUGAGUAUGGGAGAGGAAAGUGGAAUUCCUGGUGUAGAGGUGAAAUUCGUAGAUAUCAGGAGGAACACCGGUGGCGAAGGCGACUUUCUGGCCCAAUACUGACGCUGAGACGCGAGAGCGUGGGGAG